rnacentral:rRNA from 1 species
AACAGGAUUAGAUACCCUGGUAGUCCACGCCGUAAACGAUGUCGACUUGGAGGUUGUGCCCUUGAGGCGUGGCUUCCGGAGCUAACGCGUUAAGUCGACCGCCUGGGGAGUACGGCCGCAAGGUUAAAACUCAAAUGAAUUGACGGGGGCCCGCACAAGCGGUGGAGCAUGUGGUUUAAUUCGAUGCAACGCGAAGAACCUUACCUACUCUUGACAUCCAGAGAACUUUCCAGAGAUGGAUUGGUGCCUUCGGGAACUCUGAGACAGGUGCUGCAUGGCUGUCGUCAGCUCGUGUUGUGAAAUGUUGGGUUAAGUCCCGCAACGAGCGCAACCCUUAUCCUUUGUUGCCAGCGGUUAGGCCGGGAACUCAAAGGAGACUGCCAGUGAUAAACUGGAGGAAGGUGGGGAUGACGUCAAGUCAUCAUGGCCCUUACGAGUAGGGCUACACACGUGCUACAAUGGCGCAUACAAAGAGAAGCGACCUCGCGAGAGCAAGCGGACCUCAUAAAGUGCGUCGUAGUCCGGAUUGGAGUCUGCAACUCGACUCCAUGAAGUCGGAAUCGCUAGUAAUCGUAGAUCAGAAUGCUACGGUGAAUACGUUCCCGGGCCUUGUACACACCGCCCGUCACACCAUGGGAGUUUGUUGCACCAGAAGUAGCUAGCCUAACUGCAAGGAGGGCGGUUACCACGGUGUGGCCGAUGACUGGGGUGAAGUCGUAACAAGGUAACC